UGCCCAAGGUAGUAUUUUGGUUGGUGGGGCUCGUUGAUAUCAAGAACUCGAAGGUAAACGCAGAAACACGACUUAGACAGAUUCGGAACGUUGAAUAGCGUAAUACCUUACGUCCUGUGUGUUGGUUGGAUUGAAUUGUUUUGAAGGGGGUCCCUGCCUCGCUUGAUAUAGCCGGGGGAAGGGUUACAGAUCAGUUGAUUUACAAGAAUACUAGUCGGAUACGACUAGAGGAGUUUUACUCUUAUUACAACGAGUACUUUCCUAAUCCUCGACUAGUUCAUGUCUUUCCAUGUAGACUACGCCACCCUGCGUCAUGGUCUCCAUGUCAGAUGGUGUGCGACGUGCCCCGACUAGUUUUUUUAGUUGAGAUGAGUAGUCGAAAUAGUCAUCGGCGAGUCACGGGUCAAUCUUGUCGAAUGUAACUAUGCGUGUUGAAACCGCGUACUGCUUCGUCGGAGAUUUGUUGGAGGUUACUAUGUAACCUUUAUUGGAGAAUUAUCAUGUAGGGAACAGGUGCAGCUCUUUGUUGAUCUCGAUGCUUCCCUGUGCUCCGUUUUCUUUUUUGCCUCCGCAUGUGAGUAGUAAUUUUCAACUAGUUGAAUUUUUAGCCACGCAGCAGGGACAACAGCCAUGCUCUGCUGCAUUUUGAUGCGUGUGCUGCUUCUUGAUUCAACUUUCUGUAGACUUGAUUUCCUACGGAUAACACAACAGCUUGUGGAGAUCGCAGGUACUCCUCUUCGCCUAGGACUCGAAGAAGUCAACUCCGCCUUGAAACAGAUGUUGUCAGGUUCACGGGCUAAAAAAAAUUGAAUCCAUCUCGGAUUGAUAGCAUGGAUGAGUAGUCUGCUCUCCGUUGUAAAUUGACUUGGACCAAUGACGCCGACUUCUUUUUUUUCGGAUUCGGCAAGUUCCAAAGAUGCGAUGAUGCGCGCCGGCUCCUUCUCGGACUCAACAAGCAACGAAUAGAUUGAUUUUGUCGAUAAGGUCCUUCAAGUCGCUCGAUGAUCUCGACAACCACCCCUACCUAGCGUGCUAGAUGUCAAUGUUUUAUACCCGGCAACCUACCGAUAGUAUUCCGAGGCAGUAGAUUGGUUGGUGGGGGAUCGCCGGAUCUGGAAAUUGAUGGUAAAAGCGAGGAUACAAGACAUAUAUUUAUAUAGGUUCGGGCCGUCAGAGUAGUGUAAAAGCCUACAUCCUGCUUGGGGUGUUGUAUAUUGCGCCCUGCGCUUGGAUGUUGUUUGAUGUUGACGACUUGGUCCUCUGUUAUGGUUCUGCUGAUCUAGAUACCACUGCUCUCCUUUAUAUACUUCAGCGGGUAGGAUUACUGGUCGGUUAGAAGUUAGGAGUCCCGGUAGAAUUCCUCCCUAGAGAAUCCUACUCGGAGUCCUAAUAGUAUCUAUCCCCACAGUCCGUGCCCGACAGUCCCUACGCGCACGGGUAGUACGUAAUCACAUGCGCCACACGACACUGCAAUAGUGGCACCUAACAAAAAAAAUGCUCCCCUAAUUGCGUGAUCCGAACGGCUACCCGGACGGUAUUAGUAGAAGGCAGCAGCACGCCGAUGCGGAUCCCGCGGGAUGGAUGAGGUGGAUGGCCGUUGG
rnacentral:lncRNA from 1 species